UCCCCGACCCCAGAUAAAUCCCUAACCCCUUCUCUCCCUUUUUUUCCCCAAAUCGGAAAUCCACCUCCACCUCCACGACUCCACGCCACGGUGCUUCUAGCCUUCUUCGUCUUCUCAAAGGUCUUUUCCGUUGUAAACUAGAUGCUGAUGAACGGUGUAAAAUAUUACAUAGCAAUUUUUGGGACCUACUUGAUGAUACAUGCAAUAUUCUUCCAGCAUUCAAAUUGAGUUAUUAUUAUCUUUCAUCCUAUUUAAAGCGUUGCUUUGCUUAUUGUUCAUAUUUUCCUAAACAUUAUGAAUUUUAAAUAGAAAAACUCAUUCGUUUGUGGAUGGCU